AUCGAACGCUGGCGGCAGGCCUAACACAUGCAAGUCGAGCGGUAACACAGGGAGCUUGCUCCUGGGUGACGAGCGGCGGACGGGUGAGUAAUGUCUGGGAAACUGCCUGAUGGAGGGGGAUAACUACUGGAAACGGUAGCUAAUACCGCAUAACGUCGCAAGACCAAAGAGGGGGACCUUCGGGCCUCUUGCCAUCAGAUGUGCCCAGAUGGGAUUAGCUAGUAGGUGGGGUAACGGCUCACCUAGGCGACGAGCCCUAGCUGGUCUGAGAGGAUGACCAGCCACACUGGAACUGAGACACGGUCCAGACUCCUACGGGAGGCAGCAGUGGGGAAUAUUGCACAAUGGGCGCAAGCCUGAUGCAGCCAUGCCGCGUGUAUGAAGAAGGCCUUCGGGUUGUAAAGUACUUUCAGCGGGGAGGAAGGCGAUAAGGUUAAUAACCUUGUCGAUUGACGUUACCCGCAGAAGAAGCACCGGCUAACUCCGUGCCAGCAGCCGCGGUAA
rnacentral:rRNA from 1 species